GGAGCGGAGCUAACUGCAGUCGACGAAAUCUUCGGAUUUAGUGGCGGACGGGUGAGUAACGCGUGAGAAUCUGCCUUCAGGAUGGGGACAACAGUUAGAAAUGACUGCUAAUACCCAAUAGGCCGCAAGGUGAAAGAUUUAUUGCCUGAAGAGGAGCUCGCGUCCGAUUAGCUAGUUGGGGUGGUAAAAGCGCACCAAGGCAACGAUCGGUAGCUGGUCUGAGAGGAUGAGCAGCCACACUGGGACUGAGACACGGCCCAGACUCCUACGGGAGGCAGCAGUGGGGAAUUUUCCGCAAUGGGCGAAAGCCUGACGGAGCAAUACCGCGUGAGGGAGGAAGGCUUUUGGGUUGUAAACCUCUUUUCUCAAGGAAGAAGAACUGACGGUACUUGAGGAAUCAGCAUCGGCUAACUCCGUGCCAGCAGCCGCGGUAAUACGGAGGAUGCAAGCGUUAUCCGGAAUUAUUGGGCGUAAAGCGUCCGCAGGUGGUGCAUCAAGUCUGCUGUCAAAGACCAGGGCUUAACUCUGGAGAGGCAGUGGAAACUGGUGGACUAGAGUACGGUAGGGGUAGAGGGAAUUCCCAGUGUAGCGGUGAAAUGCGUAGAGAUUGGGAAGAACACCAGUGGCGAAGGCGCUCUACUGGACCUGUACUGACACUCAGGGACGAAAGCUAGGGGAGCGAAAGGGAUUAGAUACCCCUGUAGUCCUAGCUGUAAACGAUGGAUACUAGGCGUCGCUUGUAUCGACCCGAGCAGUGCCGUAGCUAACGCGUUAAGUAUCCCGCCUGGGGAGUACGCACGCAAGUGUGAAACUCAAAGGAAUUGACGGGGGCCCGCACA
rnacentral:rRNA from 1 species